GAUGAAGAACGCAGCGAAAUGCGAUAAGUAAUGUGAAUUGCAGAAUUCAGUGAAUCAUCGAAUCUUUGAACGCACAUUGCGCCCCCUGGUAUUCCGGGGGGCAUGCCUGUUCGUGCGUCAUUUCACCACUCAAGCCUCGCUUGGUAUUGGGCAACGCGGUCCGCCGCGUGCCUCAAAUCGACCGGCUGGGUCUUCUGUCCCCUAAGCGUUGUGGAAACUAUUCGCUAAAGGGUGCUCGGGAGGCUACGCCGUAAAACAAACCCAUUUCUAAGGUUGACCUCGGAUCAGGUAGGGAUACCCGCUGAACUUAAGCAUAUCAAUAAGCGGAGGA
rnacentral:misc_RNA from 1 species